GGACUUGUUCUACGAAGACGAAGAUC
rnacentral:piRNA from 1 species